rnacentral:lncRNA from 14 species
GGGGGAAGAGGAGGAGGAGGAGGAGGAGGGAGAGAGGGAGGGGCCGCCCCGCUGCUGAAUAAUUCAGCGCCGGCAGCGCGGGAAGCUCCGCACCGGCACCGAGCCCGCGCCGAGCCGAGCUCCGCGAUUUUCCCGGAAUUCCGGAGGCUCUGGAAUAAUCCCGGGGGGGGCUGGGAAGGUCAGGCCGGGGCUCCCGGGAUCCUCCUUCCCGCCGGCGCCGCGCUCAUCCCUAUUUUUAGAGCGCUGAGAGGAUCAGCGGGAAUCAAGGAUCCCGUGGCCUCCGCUCGCCGCGGGCGCCGGGGCAGGAGCCCGGAGCUGGACGGGCCCGGAGAGUCCGAGGGAUCGCAGAGUCAACUUGGAGCCGCCCAAUGGGAUCCCAACCGGGAAAAUCCGCCUUGCUCUCCCUCCUCCUCCUCCUCCUCUUGGCCGCUCUGAUCCUGCCAAUCCCUGGAGAAAUCCCUUCCCGCCGGCUACCGGGAGCACGAGGAUCCCCGGGAAUCCCCGGGAUUGAUCCGGUGCGGCGAGUACAGCAACCAGGUGCUGCCGGACGGGCGGUGCCGCGUCGUGGCCACGCUGCCGCAGGGCGACGAGCAGCGCUGCCCGGACCUGUUCCGCUGCACCGACGAGGUCUCCUACUGGCUCCACGAGAACGAGGAGCGCAAGCAGCAGAUCCUGGAGCUGCGGGAGCUCAUCUCCGAGCUCCAGGAGGAGCUCCGCAACCACCGGCACCGGCUCAAGGCCCUGGAGAUACAGCAGGAGGAGGCGUCGGGGCAGAACCGGAGCCUGCUCCAGAGGCUGCAGGACCUGGAGCAGCAUUCCCGGGAAUCCAGCACGCUGCAGCACAUCCAGGCCACGCUGCUCUACGACAUCCAGGCGCAGAUCAACAACAUCUCGGCGCUGGCCGACUGGGCCUGGAGGAACCCCAGCUGCCUCCACGCCGGCGCCGACAUCCGCGUCCAGGAGGAGAUGCGGCAUCCAGAAAUCAAACACAGCCGGAAUUGUCCCAUCGACUGCGCUUCCGUCUACUCCAACGGGCUCCGGAGAUCCGGGAUUUACAGCAUCCUGCCCUCGGUGCGCGGAAUUCCCAUCGAGGUCCUCUGCGAGAUGGACACGGAAGGUCCGGGAUUCCCGACGGAUUUGUUGUUGUUUUUGUUGUUGGAUCCCGGUGAUUCCAGGGGUGGCUGGGCGCUGGGGCGGUUCCCAAGGCUGCCGGAGAUCCCGGAGGGUUUGGGAAAUGCUCCGGUGGGAAUUUUGGGGUGUCGCGGAGUUGGAGGGAUGAUCCUGGUGGGGCUCAUGCGGGUGUUCCGGGAUUUGAGCUCAAGGCAGGCGCAGGGAAUCCUAAAUCCUGGAAUGGUUUGGGUGGGAAGGGACCUUGAAUGCCAUCCCGUUCCAAUCCCGACAACCCUCACUAUCCCAGGGUGAUCCAGCUCUCCCUUGGACAUUCCCAGGGAUCCAGGGAUUCUCUGGGAAUUCCAGCCCAGCCUGGAAUUCCUUCCCAAGAUCCCAAAAUCCCAAAAUCCCAAAAUCCCGACCCUCUGGCCAUGGCGGGAGCCAUUCCCUGUCCUGCCAUUCCAGGCCCUUUUCCCAAAUCCCUCUCCAGCUCUCCUGGAUUGGAUCCAUCCCUAUCCCGAUUCUUCCUUGAGAAGGAAUUUUGGGAUCCAGGGGCUUCUCUGGGAAUUGGGGACUCCAGGAAGGGUCUCCCUUCCCUUUUCCAUCCCUGAAUUCCAUAAAAAAUCCCUCGGGAUGGAUCCUGAGUGUCCUGGAU